UAUUGGAAAUUUAAGCAAAGUAGGUGGACUCAUAUACAAAUAUACGAAACUAAUAUAAAAUAAUAGAGUUUUGGCAUAUGAGACGCACUUAGCAACAGAUUGUAAUAGUGGGAGAAAAAGUUAUUCUGCAAAGCCGUUAACACUUUUUAACCUCGCAGACUGUACUUGACCAUUAUUUGGCUUCGUUUUCAUUGCUUUUUCUUGUAUUCUGCGAUCUCAUUUUUUAGUUUUUGUCGGGCAGCGUUAAGAGUCGUAGUCAGUAUACGGACCUAAGUCUUCCAGAGAAAUGAUGUAAUGUUUUUUAUUCCAAAAACAGCUGAAACUGAUGAAAGUUGUUUCAGUGCCUCGGCGAAAAAAUUUCAAGAACAACAUGUAAUCUCUGUUACACGGGAUCCGUCUGUUGAGUAUCGCAUUUUAAAUUUUAUAAUAGUAUUUUCAGCAAUUUCCGAAUAUGUGAAAUGUAAGAUCUGUGACGGAAAUGUCAAGUUUCAAACUGCUUCUGAACGAGGCCUUGCUUUUAAAAUUUUUUUGCUAUGUGAUAAGUGUGCAGAUCGUUACAUAAAUUAUAGUCCUUUUGUCGCGCACUAUUAUGAGAUAAAUCGACGAUUUUUAUUUGCCAUGAGAGUCCUCGAAUUAGGGUUAAAAGGUGCAAAAAAAAAUGGACAUGCGAGCUUUAUAUCACAGCCCACUUACGAUUUGAUAAUAAAUAAUAUUCACUCCAGUGAAAAAACAGCCACGGAAAAACUUUGCAAAUCAUGCUGGUUCUUCUGGGAAAAUGGAAGUUAAUUUAGUCGUCGAAAUUUUCCAACAUUCAUUGGAAAAACUUGGAGUCAUGUACAAAAACUACAUCGCAGACGGUGACUCCAAAACGUACUGGGGAAUUUUAAAGGCUGCAUCUUAUGGUAGAAGGGCAAUAGGGGCUUAGGCCUAAUGCGCAUUCACAGGCCGAAAAAGAUGAGCAGCGCGUGAACACUUCCGUUCGUAGAACGCGUGAGAGCACCCGAGAUGGAUGAAUGGCUCGCAGUCAACAUCAGCACGAGUUAUUAAAAGCUGCCGAAUCGGCGAAGGGUCUCUUAGUCCCAGGUCAUACACAGACUCUUUUGUAACCCAAACCGGUUAUUUGUGGACGAGGGGGCGACGAGGAAAGACGAAGGGGUUGUGCCACUCGUACUCGCUCUGUGUUCUUGUUCGUAACAGCUCGCUGCUACCCCUUUCAGCACUCCUUUACACUUUCAAAUUCUUUGAAUGGUUGCAAGAGCGCUCGGUUUCAAAUGAAUAUAUACCAUUCGUUCAGAAAUUGUUGAAUUCUGUUAUCUAUUUUUUGUAUGUGAUAUGCAAAUAUGUAUGAAUAGAAUAACAGAAAUAUUU